AGAGUUUGAUCCUGGCUCAGAUUGAACGCUGGCGGCAUGCCUUACACAUGCAAGUCGAACGGCAGCACGAGAGCUUGCUCUUGGUGGCGAGUGGCGAACGGGUGAGUAAUAUAUCGGAACGUACCCUAGAGUGGGGGAUAACGUAGCGAAAGUUACGCUAAUACCGCAUACGAUCUACGGAUGAAAGUGGGGGAUCGCAAGACCUCAUGCUCAUGGAGCGGCCGAUAUCUGAUUAGCUAGUUGGUGGGGUAAAAGCUCACCAAGGCGACGAUCAGUAGCUGGUCUGAGAGGACGACCAGCCACACUGGAACUGAGACACGGUCCAGACUCCUACGGGAGGCAGCAGUGGGGAAUUUUGGACAAUGGGCGCAAGCCUGAUCCAGCAAUGCCGCGUGAGUGAAGAAGGCCCUCGGGUUGUAAAGCUCUUUUGUCAGGGAAGAAACGGUGGACUCUAAUACAGAUCACUAAUGACGGUACCUGAAGAAUAAGCACCGGCUAACUACGUGCCAGCAGCCGCGGUAAUACGUAGGGUGCAAGCGUUAAUCGGAAUUACUGGGCGUAAAGCGUGCGCAGGCGGUUGUGCAAGACAGAUGUGAAAUCCCCGGGCUCAACCUGGGAAUUGCAUUUGUGACUGCACGGCUAGAGUGUGUCAGAGGGGGGUAGAAUUCCACGUGUAGCAGUGAAAUGCGUAGAGAUGUGGAGGAAUACCGAUGGCGAAGGCAGCCCCCUGGGAUAACACUGACGCUCAUGCACGAAAGCGUGGGGAGCAAACAGGAUUAGAUACCCUGGUAGUCCACGCCCUAAACGAUGUCUACUAGUUGUCGGGUCUUAAUUGACUUGGUAACGCAGCUAACGCGUGAAGUAGACCGCCUGGGGAGUACGGUCGCAAGAUUAAAACUCAAAGGAAUUGACGGGGACCCGCACAAGCGGUGGAUGAUGUGGAUUAAUUCGAUGCAACGCGAAAAACCUUACCUACCCUUGACAUGUCUGGAAUCCUUGAGAGAUCAGGGAGUGCUCGAAAGAGAAUCAGAACACAGGUGCUGCAUGGCUGUCGUCAGCUCGUGUCGUGAGAUGUUGGGUUAAGUCCCGCAACGAGCGCAACCCUUGUCAUUAGUUGCUACGAAAGGGCACUCUAAUGAGACUGCCGGUGACAAACCGGAGGAAGGUGGGGAUGACGUCAAGUCCUCAUGGCCCUUAUGGGUAGGGCUUCACACGUCAUACAAUGGUACAUACAGAGGGCCGCCAACCCGCGAGGGGGAGCUAAUCCCAGAAAGUGUAUCGUAGUCCGGAUUGUAGUCUGCAACUCGACUACAUGAAGUUGGAAUCGCUAGUAAUCGCGGAUCAGCAUGUCGCGGUGAAUACGUUCCCGGGUCUUGUACACACCGCCCGUCACACCAUGGGAGCGGGUUUCACCAGAAGUGGGUAGCCUAACCGCAAGGAGGGCGCUCACCACGGUGGGAUUCGUGACUGGGGUGAAGUCGUAACAAGGUA
rnacentral:rRNA from 1 species